rnacentral:rRNA from 1 species
UACGUAGGAGACGAGCGUUGUCCGGAAUUAUUGGGCGUAAAGCGCACGUAGGCGGCUUAGCAAGUCGGAAGUGAAAGCCCUCGGCUCAACCAAGGAAGUGCUUUCGAAACUGCUGAGCUUGAGUACUUAAGAGGAUCGCGGAAUUCCCGGUGUAGAGGUGAAAUUCGUAGAUAUCGGGAGGAACACCAGUGGCGAAGGCGGCGAUCUGGGAAGAUACUGACGCUGAGGUGCGAAAGCGUGGGGAGCAAACAGG